UACGUAGGCAGCAAGCGUUGUUCGGAGUUACUGGGCGUAAAGGGUGUGUAGGCGGUUCUUUAAGUUUGGGGUGAAAUCUCCCGGCUCAACUGGGAGGGUGCGCCGAAUACUGAGGGACUAGAGUACGGGAGAGGAAAGUGGAAUUCCUGGUGUAGCGGUGAAAUGCGUAGAUAUCAGGAGGAACACCGGUGGUGUAGACGGCUUUCUGGACCGACACUGACGCUGAGACACGAAAGCGUGGGGAGCAAACAGG
rnacentral:rRNA from 1 species